rnacentral:rRNA from 1 species
UAGAUACCCCACUAUGCUCAGCCGUAAACUUUUAUUUACACUCGCAUCGCCAGGGAACUACGAGCCAAGCUUAAAACCCAAAGGACUUGACGGUACCCCACAUCCACCUAGAGGAGCCUGUCCUAUAAUCGAUAACCCCCGCUUAACCUCACCAUUUUUAGCUAAAUCAGCCUGUAUACCUCCGUCGUCAGCUUACCUCGUGAGCGAAAUUUAGUGAGCUUAAUGUCUCUACAUCAAUACGUCAGGUCAAGGUGCAGUAAAUGAAAUGGGAAGAGAUGGGCUACACUCUCUAAUCUAGAACAUACGAAAGACUAUAUAUGAAACCCUAGUCAGAAGGCGGAUUUAGCAGUAAAAAGGAACCAAUAG